rnacentral:rRNA from 1 species
UACGAAGGGGGCUAGCGUUGUUCGGAAUCACUGGGCGUAAAGGGCGCGUAGGCGGCCAUUCAAGUCGGGGGUGAAAGCCUGUGGCUUAACCACAGAAUUGCCUUCGAUACUGUUUGGCUUGAGACCGGAAGAGGUUAGUGGAACUGCGAGUGUAGAGGUGAAAUUCGUAGAUAUUCGCAAGAACACCAGUGGCGAAGGCGGCUGACUGGUCCGGUUCUGACGCUGAGGCGCGAAAGCGUGGGGAGCAAACAGG